CCUACGGGAGGCAGCAGUGGGGAAUAUUGCACAAUGGGCGCAAGCCUGAUGCAGCCAUGCCGCGUGUAUGAAGAAGGCCUUCGGGUUGUAAAGUACUUUCAGUCGGGAGGAAGGUGUCAAGGUUAAUAACCUUGGCAAUUGACGUUACCGACAGAAGAAGCACCGGCUAACUCCGUGCCAGCAGCCGCGGUAAUACGGAGGGUGCAAGCGUUAAUCGGAAUUACUGGGCGUAAAGCGCACGCAGGCGGUUGAUUGAGUCAGAUGUGAAAUCCCCGGGCUUAACCCGGGAAUUGCAUCUGAUACUGGUCAGCUAGAGUCUUGUAGAGGGGGGUAGAAUUCCAUGUGUAGCGGUGAAAUGCGUAGAGAUGUGGAGGAAUACCGGUGGCGAAGGCGGCCCCCUGGACAAAGACUGACGCUCAGGUGCGAAAGCGUGGGGAGCAAACAGGAUUAGAUACCCCUGUAGUC
rnacentral:rRNA from 1 species